rnacentral:tRNA from 1 species
GGGCCGAUGGUCUAGUGGUAUGAUUCUCGCUUAGGGUAACACCCUCUGCUUGGUUGCGAGAGGUCCCGGGUUCAAUCCCCGGUUGGCCCC